UAACACAUGCAAGUCGAACGGAAAGGCCCUGCUUGCAGGGUACUCGAGUGGCGAACGGGUGAGUAACACGUGGGUGAUCUGCCCUGCACUUCGGGAUAAGCUUGGGAAACUGGGUCUAAUACCGGAUAGGAGCCAUCUUUAAUGUGGUGGUUGGAAAGUUUUUUCGGUGUAGGAUGAGCUCGCGGCCUAUCAGCUUGUUGGUGGGGUAAUGGCCUACCAAGGCGGCGACGGGUAGCCGGCCUGAGAGGGUGUACGGCCACAUUGGGACUGAGAUACGGCCCAGACUCCUACGGGAGGCAGCAGUGGGGAAUAUUGCACAAUGGGCGCAAGCCUGAUGCAGCGACGCCGCGUGGGGGGUGAAGGCCUUCGGGUUGUAAACUCCUUUCGCUAGGGACGAAGCUUUUUGUGACGGUACCUAGAUAAGAAGCACCGGCUAACUACGUGCCAGCAGCCGCGGUAAUACGUAGGGUGCGAGCGUUGUCCGGAAUUACUGGGCGUAAAGGGCUCGUAGGUGGUUUGUCGCGUCGUCUGUGAAAUUCUGGGGCUUAACUCCGGGCGUGCAGGCGAUACGGGCAUAACUUGAGUGCUGUAGGGGUAACCGGAAUUCCAAGUGUAGCGGUGGAAUGCGCAGAUAUUUGGAGGACACCAGCGGCGAAGGCGAUUUUCUGGUCUAACAUUGACGCUGAGGCUCGAAAGCGUGGGGAGCGAACAGGAUUAG
rnacentral:rRNA from 1 species